rnacentral:misc_RNA from 1 species
GCUGGAGAUAUCAAGCACAACCAAUCCCCGAAUGCGUCCAAAUCCUUCAGGCAAGAACCGCAAGCGUCGGCCGGAGAGACUAAUUCGAUCCAUUUCCUUCUCAUUCGCGUCCUGAAGAAUCCUCGCAACCUCCUCAUUGACCUCCUCGCUAACUGGAUCCAAGUGUUCUUCCUCCUGCAGCCCUCUCUCAGCCGACUCGUAAAUCUUCACCAACCUCUCCUCUGCUUCCUUCAACAUCUUCUCAUACGCCUCGUGCAUCUCAUCCAGUUGCACAAUUGCCUUAUACCCCUGCUUCUCUUUAUCCGCCGCCUGGCGGCACUCGUUCUCUUUCUCAGCAAGAUGCGCCCUCCACUCAAGCAACUCGACAUCCGCCGGCCUAGACGAAAGCACGAUUUCCUGAAGCUUGGCAGACAAAUUAACUUCUACCUCAGCGAGCUUAGCCUUGGCAGUAUCAACAGCCUCAUGGUCUGGUCUCU